rnacentral:tRNA from 1 species
GCUGGUGUGGCUCAGUGGAUAGAGCGUCGGCCUGCAGACUGAAGGGUUCUGGGUUCAAGUCCAGUCAAGGGCA